GCUCUGAUACAAGUGAAAUGUUUUUCUGUGAUUGAGUGUGUGGAAGGGGACUGAACUGGGAUUAGAAAAACAUGGAGGACGAAUUUGUUCAUUUUUUUGUAGAUAAAUGAGGGACUAAAAUUGCAAUUUAAAUAGUCAAUCAUAACAUUUAAUUUCAGAAUCAAAAUAAAUAAAUGUCUAAUUACGUACACAUACCAAUUACCAUAUCAUAUAUAACUAGAAAAUAAUAUUUGUAGUAACAAAAAUCAGCUUUAGCCCUAACUAUUGUUACAUACAAAAAAAAAAAGAGAAAUAUUUCUUCACAGAAAAUCUCUUCAUCCGAUCUAGAGAAAUGGGUGUGAUAGGUAGCCGACAGCCAGUCAAGUUACAGAACCAAUUUUUCUCGUCGGAUUUGUAGCUUUCAGAGAAAUAACACAACUCACAACAAAUCAUACAUCAACGAUGACGGUUUGCCUAUUUCUCUUGCACCCCUAUCCCAUCCAUGUUGUCAACGUGGUAAUUCCCACCAGUACAGUUUGGGGCUUUACACAGGCAAGGAACCUUGAAAUCCUCACAUUCGUCUGGAUCAAACAAGUAGUCGUACCUGUCAGUAUUGCAGCCAAAUGAAAUAUAUCAGGGGCGGACUUACAAAAUGUAGGCAUUAUUUUGUGUGAGCGUGUGCGAGUGCUGCAUACUUGUAUGAGAGAGAGAGAGAAAGAGGGGAAGAGAGAGAAAUACGUUAAUUCAUCACCAGCAGCCACAUUUGCCUUUGCGAUAAGUACAAUCCGACUCUCAUCAGCUCCUACACUCAUGAUCCGUGCAUAGCAGUUUGGCAUGCACUGUGCAAAUAACAAAGCAAAAACGCAAAAAGACUGUAAGAGGGACUCAUUGACAAAGGUUUUGAUAAGAAGGAGCAGCACAAAAGUCGAUAAGACAUGAAAAGAACACGGAAUACAAGAUCACUUUCUCAAGAGAAAAGAAGAGGAAUUAAUAAGAUCUACAGAGCAUGACAGAAGGAGAAGCAUCAUCAAAUAUAUAAUUCUAGUUUGAUUCCACAUAUGAAGAGAAGAGUCAGGAACAAUGAAAGAUAAGUGAUACUUACUGAAUGGUUAAUUAAACGUGCAAUGUUUCCCUUGUCAGUGGCAUCAACCACAACUUCUUCACUAAUCUUAAAUAGCUGCACAAGAUAAUUCAGCGAGAUUAGUUGGUGUUUGUGACAACAUACAGGUUGGAGAGAGACAGCACAAAGAAAGGAGUGAAAAGAACCUACAUAGCAAUCUUUUCCCUCAACACGAUAUCGUGCCUCCCUCAAAUCUGCAACACUGCGUCUGACCUGCUCACCACGAUACUCCAGAACCUGAAACAAGUAAACGUAUGCUCCACUAAGUGACUUCUAUAUUUGAUGCUGAAGUAAUUAGAAAUACGAGCACUUCGGUUAUUAACUGAUCCUCAACACAACAAGAUGAUCUGUAGCAUACUCAGGCAAGGAGGAACAACAUCUCAUUGGAAAUGUUCACAGGUUAUGACACAAAUCAUUGACUAUCAAGAAUAGCUCCUCAUGAUGAAAAGAUAAAGAACUCCAUUUUCAUGCAAUUACACGGACUGCCAUUUACAUCUUUUCCUAAUAUGAUCAAAGUACUGACUAGGGGUAACUAGUAACAACUAUAAAAGAUUUAUAUA